rnacentral:rRNA from 1 species
UGCGUAGGCGGGAGAUUAAGUCAGUGGUGAAAUCCUGCAGCUUAACUGUAGAAUUGCCAUUGAUACUGGUUUUCUUGAGUGUAGUUGAAGUGGGCGGAAUGUGUAUUGUAGCGGUGAAAUGCUUAGAUAUUACACAGAACACCUAUUGCGAAGGCAGCUCACUAAACUAAUACUGGCGCUGAGGCACGAAAGCGUGGGGAGCAAACAGGAUUAGAUAGCCUGGUAGUCC